UUCUGGUUGAUCCUGGCGGAGGCUACUGCUAUUGGGAUUCUAUUACGCCAUGCGAGUUGAAUGAAUUUAGAUUCAUGGCGUACGGCUCAGUAACACGUGGAUAACUUACCCUUAGGACUGGGAUAACUCUGGGAAACUGGGGAUAAUACCGGAUAUUAGGCUAUGGCUGGAAUGCUUUGCCUUUGAAAUGUUUCUUGUAUUCGCCUAAGGAUAGAUCUGCGGCUGAUUAGGUCGUUGGUGGGGUAAUGGCCCACCAAGCCUAUGAUCGGUACGGGUUGUGAGAGCAAGAGCCCGGAGAUGGAACCUGAGACAAGGUUCCAGACCCUACGGGGUGCAGCAGGCGCGAAACCUCCGCAAUGUACGAAAGUGCGACGGGGGGAUCCCAAGUGUUAUUCUUAAUAGGAUAACUUUUCAUUAGUGUAAAAAGCUUUUAGAAUAAGAGCUGGGCAAGACCGGUGCCAGCCGCCGCGGUAACACCGGCAGCUCAA
rnacentral:rRNA from 1 species